rnacentral:sRNA from 1 species
UCGUACAGUGCCUCGAUCGUUACGGG